UGGACAGGAGCUGCAACUGUUGACUGAGGUUAACAUUGCAAUAGUUUAUUGGAUAUACUAUAGUAUUUAAAAUGUGUGACAUCUAGUUGUUUGUCUAUUGCUAUUUUUGUAUGGACAAGGCACAGGAGAAACAGAAGGAGAGCAACCGGAGGAGAAUCAAGGAGGGGACCGACAUCCGGGCGAAUGACUUGGUUUGGAAGAAGAACGAAAGGAGGCGACCUGAGAAUCCUUGCUGCUCUGUUGCUCCUAGCUUGGGUCACCAUCCAUAAGGGUGAUUAUAAAAAUCUCAGAUGACUAUUUGCCUCUUCGCAAUGGCCGGCAUCGCCAUGCUGUCAGCAGUACCAACACUGGCCCAGGGGUUUCUCCAAAUAGUCAAUGUCAAGGCUAAGUACUGGGUCACAUUAAGUAACCUCUGUUGCCAGGGACCACCUUCCCCAUCCACCUCACUGACAUAAAAUAUUACAGACAGGAUCUAGAGGUUCUACCCAGAUGUGGAUCCCCCUGAUGUCCUCCAUUACCUUCCAACUUUUCAUUACAUCAUCUACAGCUACUGUUGUCAUGUUGUCAAUAUCUGCUAAGAAAUGUUCUUGCUCUAUCAUACUGGGCACAUAAUGUGAGAUACACAGAUUAACUAAAAAUACUAGCAUUUGGAAACACUCAAAACAAACAGAGCAGCAGUGCCUGGACUUCGAUGUCUAACUCUUUGAGUCCCCCUUCCGAGACUGAUUGCCUGUUGAGAACAAGUGACAUGCAGAACCUCCCACAGCACCCACCCCCUCUCUAUUCCACUCACCAGAACUCAGUAUUUCAGGCUCUGAUUGCCAUGUGAGUGAAAAUCUGUGAAAGUAAAUUGAAACUGAGCAAGACCUUGAUAUGAAAGACUGCAUUGUGGAGUUAAUCGUUGUUAUAGCCUAGAUCACUUUAUAUAUUCUGGACCGUUGUUUUUUCUAAGGCUAAGCAGACAACGGGUAGCAUAUGCUUUUUAUCCGUCUCUAUAACAAGGCUUAGGCCUAUAUCCUCACAAACCGUCUCAAUUCGAGCCCUGCUUUAAACCAUAAGACAUCUCCCCAGAAAUGUUUUGCCUACGGAUUGCAUGGUGACAACGACUGUGUCUGUUAAACCAGUAAACUGGGAAGUCUGGUGAAAAAACGGGGUCAAAUCACGACAUCUGUGAUUUUCAUGUCAGAGAAAGAUGCCAGUUUCUGAAUUGGAAUCCCAAGUUGAAUGACCUUUCAACACUAUUUUUCUCAGUCUGAGCUUGUUUUUCCCCGAGUUCCCAGUUGUCAUGAAUACAGCACUAAAUUUGAAAGUCAGAGAAUGCCGAAUUCCCAGUUGCUUUGAAUGCGCCACUGGAGACUUAGACUGUCUCUUAUUUCUGAAUAGUGCUACCUCCAACAAAGAAGCCCUUGUGUCUGUAUUGAUGUGAGAAAUGGGCAUAUCUACACAGUAAUGGUGGCUGGCUGCGAUAUCAACUAGCCUAAUCAUUUUUGUAUUGAAGUGAUAUGCCUAUUUUAGCAAAAUUGACAAAUGACAUUGAUUAGAUUACCCUGGCAAUUAAAUUUUAUUUUUACAAAAUCAUGUCUGCUAAUGUCAUGAAAUUACACUGGUCACUCAACAUUCAUAAAGUAUUUAUAAUGUUUACAGUAAAUAGUACUCACUUUAGA